rfam:Salmo salar isolate Sally breed double haploid chromosome ssa19, whole genome shotgun sequence.
UUCAAAAGGAGCGUACCCACCUGUCGCAGUCGCACUCAAAUCACCCAAGCACAUUUGGUGUAUGUGCUUGGCUGAGGAGCCAAUGGUGCGAAGCUACCGUCUGUGGGACUAUGACUGAACGCCUCCAAGUCAGAAUCCCCCCUAAACAUAA